CUUUCUCUGUUGAAUCCCCCGUUGAAACACUGGAACAGUGAUUAGCCCUUUCCCCUCCCAGUAACCAGAUGACACAUAGUUCGGGAAGAACAAGCUGGAACACUUUAAUGGCAGCCACAAAUGGCCUUAUAUGCAUGUCCCCAUGCAAGGGACACUCCCCACUGGACCUAAGAGUAAACCCCAGUAGCAACAUAUACACAAUUAC